UACGUAGGGAGCAAGCGUUGUCCGGAAUCAUUGGGCGUAAAGCGCGCGUAGGUGGCCCCAUAAGUCCGCUGUGAAAGUCAAAGGCUCAACCUUUGAAAGCCGGUGGAUACUGUGGGACUAGAGUACGGAAGAGGCGAGUGGAAUUCCUGGUGUAGCGGUGGAAUGCGCAGAUAGUCAGGAGGAACACCAAUAGCGAAGGCAGCUCGCUGGACGUUACUGACACUGGAGGCGC
rnacentral:rRNA from 1 species